rnacentral:rRNA from 14 species
UUUCCCCGAGUAGCAGCGGGCUCGUGGAAUCUGCUGUGAAUCUGCCGGGACCACCCGGUAAGCCUAAAUACUCAGUGUGACCGAUAGUGGAUAGUACCGUGAGGGAAUGGUGAAAAGUACCCCGGGAGGGGAGUGAAAGAGUUCCUGAAACCGGUCGCAUGCAAGCCGUCAGAGCCUGUGUGGUGAUGGCGUGCCUUUUGAAGAAUGAGCCUGCGAGUCAGCGGCAUGUCGCGAGGUUAACCCGUGUGGGGUAGCCGUAGCGAAAGCGAGUCCGAAUAGGGCGAUUGAGUCGCGUGCCCUAGACCCGAAGCCGAGUGAUCUACCCAUGGCCAGGUUGAAGCGCGGGUAAGACCGCGUGGAGGACCGAACCCACUUAGGUUAAAAACUGAGGGGAUGAGCUGUGGGUAGGGGUGAAAGGCCAAUCAAACUCGGUGAUAGCUGGUUCUCCCCGAAAGCUAUUUAGGUAGCGCCUCGGACGAACACCAUUGGGGGUAGAGCACUGUUUCGGCUAGGGGGUCAUCCCGACUUACCAAACCGAUGCAAACUCCGAAUACCGAUGAGUGAUAUCCGGGAGACAGACGGCGGGUGCUAACGUCCGUCGUCAAGAGGGAAACAACCCAGACCGCCAGCUAAGGCCCC